rnacentral:rRNA from 1 species
GAGUUUGAUCCUGGCUCAGAUUGAACGCUAGCGGGAUGCCUUACACAUGCAAGUCGAACGGCAGCACGGACUUCGGUCUGGUGGCGAGUGGCGAACGGGUGAGUAAUGUAUCGGAACGUGCCCAGUAGCGGGGGAUAACUACGCGAAAGCGUAGCUAAUACCGCAUACGCCCUACGGGGGAAAGCAGGGGAUCGUAAGACCUUGCACUAUUGGAGCGGCCGAUAUCGGAUUAGCUAGUUGGUGGGGUAACGGCUCACCAAGGCGACGAUCCGUAGCUGGUUUGAGAGGACGACCGGCCACACUGGGACUGAGACACGGCCCAGACUCCUACGGGAGGCAGCAGUGGGGAAUUUUGGACAAUGGGGGAAACCCUGAUCCAGCCAUCCCGCGUGUGCGAUGAAGGCCUUCGGGUUGUAAAGCACUUUUGGCAGGAAAGAAACGUCAUGGGUUAAUACCCCGUGAAACUGACGGUACCUGCAGAAUAAGCACCGGCUAACUACGUGCCAGCAGCCGCGGUAAUACGUAGGGUGCAAGCGUUAAUCGGAAUUACUGGGCGUAAAGCGUGCGCAGGCGGUUCGGAAAGAAAGAUGUGAAAUCCCAGAGCUUAACUUUGGAACUGCAUUUUUAACUACCGGGCUAGAGUGUGUCAGAGGGAGGUGGAAUUCCGCGUGUAGCAGUGAAAUGCGUAGAUAUGCGGAGGAACACCGAUGGCGAAGGCAGCCUCCUGGGAUAACACUGACGCUCAUGCACGAAAGCGUGG